rnacentral:rRNA from 1 species
UUGACCUCGGAUCAGGUAGGAAUACCCGCUGAACUUAAGCAUAUCAAUAAGCGGAGGAAAAGAAACCAACAGGGAUUGCCCUAGUAACGGCGAGUGAAGCGGCAACAGCUCAAAUUUGAAAUCUGGCCUCGGCCCGAGUUGUAAUUUGCAGAGGAUGCUUCUGGCGCGGUGCCUUCCGAGUUCCCUGGAACGGGACGCCACAGAGGGUGAGAGCCCCGUAUGGUCGGACACCAAGCCUGUGUGAAGCUCCUUCGACGAGUCGAGUAGUUUGGGAAUGCUGCUCUAAAUGGGAGGUAAAUCUCUUCUAAAGCUAAAUACCGGCCAGAGACCGAUAGCGCACAAGUAGAGUGAUCGAAAGAUGAAAAGCACCUUGAAAAGGGGGUUAAAUAGUACGUGAAAUUGUUGAAAGGGAAGCACUUGUGACCAGACUUGGGCCGGGCGGCUCAUCAGGGGUUCUCCCCUGUGCACUCCGCCCGGCACAGGCCAGCAUCGGUUUUCGCGGGGGGACAAGACCGCCGGGAACGUAGCACCCUCCGGGGUGUGUUAUAGCCCGGCGGACGAUACCCCCGCGGGGACCGAGGUCCGCGCUCCGCAGAUGCUGGC